AUACGGAGGAUCCGAGCGUUAUCCGGAUUUAUUGGGUUUAAAGGGAGCGUAGGUGGAUAGUUAAGUCAGUUGUGAAAGUUUGCGGCUCAACCGUAAAAUUGCAGUUGAUACUGGCUGUCUUGAGUACAGUAGAGGUGGGCGGAAUUCGGGGGGUAGCGGUGAAAUGCUUAGAUAUCACGAAGAACUCCGAUUGCGAAGGCAGCUCACUGGACUGCAACUGACACUGAUGCUCGAAAGUGUGGGUAUCAAACAGGAUUAGAUACCCUGGUAGUCCACACAGUAAACGAUGAAUACUCGCUGUUUGCGAUAUACAGUAAGCGGCCAAGCGAAAGCAUUAAGUAUUCCACCUGGGGAGUACGCCGGCAACGGUGAAACUCAAAGGAAUUGACGGGG
rnacentral:rRNA from 1 species